rnacentral:rRNA from 1 species
UACGUAGUGUGCGAGCGUUGUCCGGAAUUAUUGGGCGUAAAGAGCUCGUAGGCGGUGUGUCGCGUCGGCCGUGAAAACCUGCAGCUUAACUGUGGGCUUGCGGUCGAUACGGGCAUCACUGGAGUUCGGCAGGGGAGACUGGAAUUCCUGGUGUAGCGGUGAAAUGCGCAGAUAUCAGGAGGAACACCGGUGGCGAAGGCGGGUCUCUGGGCCGUAACUGACGCUGAGGAGCGAAAGCAUGGGGAGCGAACAGG